rnacentral:rRNA from 1 species
GAUGAACGCUGACAGAAUGCUUAACACAUGCAAGUCAACUUGAACUUCGGUUUGGGUGGCGGACGGGUGAGUAACGCGUACAGAACUUGCCUCACAGCUAGGGACAACAUUUGGAAACGAAUGCUAAUACCUGAUAUUAUGAUUAUAUGGCAUCGUAUAAUUAUGAAAGCUAUAUGCGCUGUGAGAGAGCUUUGCGUCCCAUUAGCUAGUUGGAGAGGUAACAGCUCACCAAGGCGAUGAUGGGUAGCCGGCCUGAGAGGGUGAUCGGCCACAAGGGGACUGAGACACGGCCCUUACUCCUACGGGGGGCAGCAGUGGGGAAUAUUGGACAAUGGACCGAGAGUCUGAUCCAGCAAUUCUGUGUGCACGAUGAAGUUUUUCGGAAUGUAAAGUGCUUUCAGUUGGGAAGAAAAAAAUGACGGUACCAACAGAAGAAGUGACGGCUAAAUACGUG